rnacentral:misc_RNA from 1 species
AAGUCGUAACAAGGUUUCCGUAGGUGAACCUGCGGAAGGAUCAUUAAUCCAGGCGCGAAUCCCCGGCGGUGCAAACCGCAGGGGGGCUAGCGCCGCCUUUAUAACCACCCUUUGCCUAUGUGUACCCCUAUCGCUUCCUCGGCGGGCUCGCCCGCCGCCAGGAACCAAUCAAACCCUUGCAUUAUACAUGAAAAUUUCCGAUACAAACCAAAAUUAUUACAA